rnacentral:sRNA from 1 species
ACUCCGUGAUCUGCUGCGGGCAGAUGUAGUGGACGUGCGCGUCGAUCGCGCCCGCGGUGAGGAUGAGCUUCUCGCCUGCGAUUGCCUCGGUUGAGGAGCCCACGACGAGCGCGGGGUCCACGCCGUCCAUGACGUCUGGGUUUCCCGCCUUGCCGAUGCCGACGAUGAGGCCGUCCUUGACUCCGACGUCGGCCUGUGGGAUGGGUCAGUGGGCGUGCGAGGGUAGCUGACGUUGGAACGGCGCGCCUUGUAGAUGCCCGACCAGUCAACGAUGAGGGCAUUUGUGAUCACAAGAUCGAGGGUCUCUGACGCAGACCGAUUCGUAGCUUGGCCCAUGCCCUCGCGAAU